GUGUUGGGGAGUUCAGUUCCCCAGGCCAAGAGCAGCUGAGUGGCCAGGCCCAGCCUCCAAAGGGCACUGAAGACCCCAGAGGGUUCACAGAGAGUUUUGGAGCCAGCAGCAUCUCCCAGGCAGUGCAGGAAAGGGACUGUGAGAGCGUCUCCUUCAUCGGCCGGCCAUGGCGUGGCGUGCACGGCCACCUGAACCUGCCCAUGUACAAGGGCAUGAUGGAGGCCAUGCUGUACCACAUCAUGACCAGGCCUGGCAUCCCCGAGGGCUGCCUGCUGUGCCACUACCAGGGGGUUCUGCAGCCUGUCGCCGUGCUGGAGCUGCUCCAGGGCCUGGAGUCCCUCGGCUGCAUCCGGAAGUGCUGGCUGAGAAAGCCAAGGGCUGUCUCACUCUUCUCAACACCUGUGGUGGAAGAAAUGGAGGCAUCCUCCAGCCUGGGCGAGAGCCCCAUGGCCUUCUACGAGCCCACCUUGGA
rnacentral:lncRNA from 1 species